rnacentral:lncRNA from 1 species
GUACUGCGUCAGGUGGAUACUAAAACUGGCAAGCUGAAAAUUGGUACCUACACAGGGCCCCUACAGCAUGGUAUCGUCUACUCAGGAGGUUCUUCUGAUACGAUCUGUGACCUGUUGGGAGCCAAGGGAAAAGACAUUUUGUAUAUUGGAGAUCACAUUUUUGGGGACAUUUUAAAAUCAAAGAAACGGCAAGGGUGGCGAACUUUUUUGGUGAUUCCUGAACUCGCACAGGAGCUACAUGUCUGGACUGACAAGAGUUCACUUUUCGAAGAACUUCAGAGCUUGGAUAUUUUCUUGGCUGAACUCUACAAGCAUCUUGACAGCAGUAGCAAUGAGCGUCCAGACAUCAGUUCCAUCCAGAGACGUAUUAAGAUGCCUCAUGAAUCAACGGUGGAGCACACACACGUAGAUAUCAAUGAGAUGGAGUCUCCUCUUGCCAC